UAGGUCGACCCGCUGAAUUUAAGCAUAUCACUAAGCGGAGGAAAAGAAACUAACCAGGAUUCCCCUAGUAACGGCGAGUGAAGAGGGAAAAGCCCAGCACCGAAGCCUGUGGCAAUUUUGCUGCUAGGCAAUGUGGUGUUUAGGUCGGCUCGUGGGAUCGCCACUCCACUCGAAGUCCAGCAUUGAGUAUGGUUCCCAGGAAUUGGCCCAUAGAGGGUGAAAGGCCCGUACGAGUGGAUGUGUCAGAUAUGUAAGGCGAUUCACCAGGCCGGCCUUAGAGUCGGGUUGUUUGCGAAUGCAGCCCAAAGUGGGUGGUAAACUCCAUCCAAGGCUAAAUACUAGCACGAGUCCGAUAGCGAACAAGUACCGUGAGGGAAAGUUGAAAAGUACUUUGAAGAGAGAGUAAACAGUACGUGAAACCGCAUAGAGGUAAACGGGUGGCGUCAAGCUGCAAGCCCAGAGAAUUCAGUCGGUCAGGGUGUUGUCAUGCGCCCAGCGCAUCUAUCAGUCGGUGUAGAAUUUGGCUAGUCCGCUUGAAGAUGGCGGGCCCAGCUAGCAAUAGCUGGGAUUUGCGUACCGGGCGGUAGCCGGAGCAUGCUAGCCGUCUGUAGGACUGCCUGGCCGAUGCACUUUCUCUGUUGGUGAACACCACGACCGGUGGUACUGCCAGUCUGCUGUAGCCAGCUUCGUUGCAUACUCUGUCCUUUUGGUUGGGGCGUGUGGCGAUCACAGACAAUUUCAGUGCACGGUGCUUGUGUGUUUUUCGCAUGCGGGCAUGUUAUCGGGAACUGGUUGUAAACGGGUCGGCCUGUCGACUUGUCUGUAGUCGUGGUUGAUGGGUGACCCGGUGGGCUAUGGUGGUAUGAAUAACUGUGCAGGGCACCGGAGUUUUCGGUCCGACCAGCAGUAGUCGUUCGCGGCUGCUGUUGCCGGCUGCAUACGCACUGCAGUUUAGCGUGUGCACUGUCUUUGGCAGUAGUACGGGCGGCGCUGUUUACGGCCUGCCAGUCGUUGGGUCUGAUUGUCGUGUCGCCUGCCAAAAUGGUGGGUCCGGCGGUGGCCUGGCGUUGGAUGGUGCCUGUAGACGGAGCUGUCGUUGUGCAGCCGGUGUUUGUGUGCGCGACCUUAUAGUCUGUGGUGUAGUGGUAGACGAGCUACCCGACCCGUCUUGAAACACGGACCAAGGAGUUUAACAUGCGCGCGAGUCAUUGGGUCCUACGAAACCCAGAGGCGCAGUGAAAGUAAAGCUUCGACAUAUAUUGUUCUCGAGGUGUGGUGAGAUCCUGCUGUUUCUCGCAUACAUUUGUCCAGCACUGGGCUAACUAAACGAGCAGUGGGCGCAUCACCGGCCCGUCCCAUGAUGUGGCUAUCUGUCAGUGGCAGUUGUCGCCUUACGGUGGUGGUUGCUUUCUGCGGGUACGUCAUCGGGGCGGAGCAUGAGCGCGCAUGUUGAGACCCGAAAGAUGGUGAACUAUGCUUGCGUAGGUUGAAGCCAGAGGAAACUCUGGUGGAGGACCGCAGCGAUUCUGACGUGCAAAUCGAUCGUCAAACGUGAGUAUAGGGGCGAAAGACUAAUCGAACCAUCUAGUAGCUGGUUCCCUCCGAAGUUUCCCUCAGGAUAGC
rnacentral:rRNA from 1 species